rnacentral:lncRNA from 1 species
CCAUUCCCAUCUGCAUGUCAAAGUCAAUCAUAUCAAGUACAAUAAGGUCAGCUAGAGUAUCUCUACCCUCAACCUGAAUCUGACAAGCACGAUACACGUAUUCAGCUAAUAGAGACUCUGCGACAGGAGUAGCAACAAGAAAAGGAUCAUUCAAUAGCUCGGGCUUUCUACUAAAUCUCAAAGCAAAGUAUGACGACACAUAGGAAUGAGUAGAUCCCAGAUCAAUCAACGCAAGCGCAUCAAAUGAACAGACAGAAAGAAUACCUAUAAGCUCAGCUAGAGUAUAUCUACUCUCAACCCGAAUCUGACAAUCACGACACUCGUAUUCAGCUAAUAGAGGCUCUCCAACAGGGGUAGCAACUAGAAAAGGAUCAUUCAAUAGCUCGGGCUGUCUGCUAAAUCUCAAAGCAAAGUACGAGGACACAUAGGAGUGAGUAGAUCCCGGAUCAAUCAACGCAGUAUCUGCCCCGAAUUACGAUGUCCAGAAGAUGAUGGUCCCCUAUCACCCUGUCUGUAAGGUGGUCUGUAUGUGGACUGUGAAGACAUGUGUGUCCCUGUCUGAGGACCCUGUUGUUGUUGUUGUCCCUGAUUUCCCGCUCUUCUAUUUUCACUAAAACCACCACUGAAAGCCCUCCUGUCUUGGCCUUCUUACGUAAAUCACUAGUUGCACGCUCCUCACACCCCUUAUUUUCAAUCUUUCUAGCAAGGUCGACUAUAUCAGAGUAGGAUAAAGUCUUCAUAUGUGGUGCUACUGCAGUGUAUAAACGACCAACCAAUCCAUCAACAAAUCUCUGAACUCGAGCUUCUUCGGUAGACACUAAGUGAGGAGCAUAUACAGCCAGCUUACAGAACUUAGUGUUAUAUGCUGACACAUC